rnacentral:misc_RNA from 1 species
AAAGUCGUAACAAGGUAACCGUAGGUGAACCUGCGGUUGGAUCAUUACCGAAUAGAAAGGCUUUUAGCCUUUUCUAAACCUCUUGUGAACUGGUAUCUGUAUUUGAUGGUUGGGCCUAGGGAGGCGGGUAGUAGUACCUAGGUUCCGAGUAAAUUGAGUCGCCAGGUUGUGGGAAAAGUAACAUUAGUACCAUGGAUCGGAUUCGUGCCAUCAACCGUGAAUAACCCAAACCUAGUCUAUUUUUUUUAUUGUCUUGCUUUUCUAGUUCCGCUUAACUGCGUGAAUAAAGAAAAAUUAAAUACAACUUUUGGCAACGGAUCUCUUGGCUCUC